UGUCCCCUUCUAAUCCCAGCUUCUCUCCUCUGCUUAGUUCAGUCCCAUUAACAAUGAUGCAUUGAUUUUUGGCCAAGAUAUGGCUGACCUCCAAAGCAACACCAAAUGGGAUGAGGACCUAUUCUAAGACUUUUUCCUCUCAUCACCAACCAAAACUCCUGGUAUCUGCUGGUUACCUUGAAGGAGAAAUUCUGAGGUCAGUCAUUUGUGCCUGGAGGAGGACAAUAGAAGCCCUGUGUAUCAUGUUCUUCUGGCUUUCUAGGGCAAGGAAUUGUGUCUACAUUGGCCCUUGAGAGCAGUCGAAACUUAUUUACAAGACAGACAAUGCCAUGCCUUGACUUCUUGUGCCUUAACCCUAGAGAUGAAAUACCUUUGUUUCUGCUGCAUUGUUUCAGCGUAAACAAGACCAGCCCAUAUCAAGGACUGAAAAAGAAUCUUUCUUCUUGAUGCAGAGGAGCUAUAAUCACAUUACAAAACAUGUGCAUACAGGGAGGACUGUGGGAUUGUGGAUAGUUUCACAAUUGAUCUGCCACAGAGCUUAAGAAAGCAAAAGGUUACUCAGAGACAUAAAAUCUGUGAGGUGAGUUGCAUAACCUAUGUGACUGACUUCAUAAAUUUUUGACAGAACCAUCACGUUUAUGAAAGUCAGAAGCAACUUUCCUCCUCUGGGAAAGAAGAAUAGGAUGGGAUGGUAUAGCACAUCCUCCCACCCCCUUUCCAGUGCUGUGACGAUGGCCACACACUGUCCCUAAUACCUUUAAUUUGUGUUGGAUGGAGUCAAUGGGAUGAAAUUAACCAGAUAGAAAGAAAAUGUCAGGGUACAAAUGUGGUGGCAUAGGAGCACACCCAGAGUCUCGCUCAGCUUCCUGACUUUGCCAGCUGUUUGUGCCCCCUCUGGAUGGAUGAUCUGAACUUUCCAGGGCACUCAGCUCGAGUUUACUAUUGCCACGCAAGUAUUUAAUACGGGAAAAUUUUAAUCACGUUUGUCUUCGCAUGUUUCGUCCUAACAACAAAUCAUUUUUAAUGGGAGACGAGGGGAUGGCAAAAAAAAAAAAAAAAAAGAAGUAGCAAAUCUUGCCUGGCAUUUUUAUCACCAGGCUCAGAUCUUUGGUCCCAGGGCUGGAUUUGCCACCAACUGCAAAUCAUUCUGAUUGAAUGAGAUGCAUGAGUAUUGGGAAGAGGGCUCAAUCUAAGGCACCCAUGUUGCCCCCCACUUCCCAUGUGUCUACCACCUCCAAGUAAGAAUUUGGGGACAGCUACUAUGUGGCAGCCAUUGUCUUAUUUUAACCCUCUCUAUAAUCUUUCAGAAAAGAUGAUUGUUUUUCUAUCUUAACAUUAUAGAAACUGUUACUCUGAGAUAUCUAGUGACCUGUCCAAGUUCACCCAGCAAGUAAACCACGGAGCAGGAGGUUAAACCCAGGUCUGUUUAACUUUAGAGCUUGUGUCUGUAACCAUGGCACCAGGCUGCUCCUCUUUACAAAUCAUAAGACAUUUCAAAUCUCUUUAUAUUAUAAUUUCCCUUGGAGAAGUCUGUUUUCCUACAUGUUUACAUACACAGAAAGACUCCUUCACUGUGAAUAAAUAAGUCACUCAACGCAUUGUGUCUGAGCUCUGGAGGGGCCAAGACAAGACACCAGGUCUCUUGACAGCCUAUCCAGGCUCCCUCUAUUAAAAAACAGAAAACAUGGACCUUUGCCUUUAAUAAAAAGGGCAGAUCCCUAUGAUCCCUGACCCUGAAUAACCCCUUGCCUGGCUCACUUGAGGUGUAUAGAUCUCUACAGUAAAAAGACAACUGUUUCUAGUACUCCAAAGGAAAUCCAUGUUUCUCAGAUGAUGAUGAGUCAUAUAACUUCUACUUAUUUUAUUCUUCAAUUAUACCUACCUUUUCAGUUCUACAAAUACCACUUGACUACAUCUGGAAAAUUUCAAUGCAAUUCCAAGACCUCAUAACAUUUUACUCAAAGACGCUUUCGUGAACAUCUCCAACAGAUGACUCAUUUUGAAUUCAACAUAUUCAGAAUCAUAGAGCUUAUUGUGUCCUCAGUUUAUUCAUUUGUACAGUACAUGAAACGCUGAGAAAGCUCAUUAAAGAGUCAUAAAUGAGGAACUGCAGUCAAAGAUGUAGGUGAAGUGUCAGGAAAUAUUGCUGCAUAAAUCUGGGGGUAGGACAAUUUCAACCAAAGGCAGGUGAUCAGCAGCAUCAAAUAUUAUCAAAAAUGAAAGUAAGAUAAAAGGCUAAAAGUGACAAUUGAAUUUCCUAUGGGGGAGGGUGGGUCCCUAGGUGUCAUCAGAGCUAUUCUGAUGCUACUGUGUUGUUGAAAGCCAGAUGAUAGAGGAAGUAAAGGGUAAAGUAAAAAUAAAUAGGAUAGAGUAUAUUUUAUAAAAGUUCAACUGAGUAGUAGAAAGUUCGGGAAGUUUCUACUCUUGGAAGAUGCCAAGAAUGAAUGGUUGCUCUUAACGAGGGGGAAGCAUGACUUUAUAGUUGUAAGGGGAGACACAUUUAAAAUGGUGAGAUUGAAAGUAUACAGGAGAUAAGGGACAAUUGGCGGAAUAAGAUCUUGCCAAAGAGAAGACUUGGUAUAACAGUGUGUGGCAAUGAGUUGGAAUUAGAAAGGGGGCAGAGUUCUACAACCUAGCCCAUGUAUGUUGAGCUCAUCUUAGGUGUGCUGUUCAGGACAAUGGGAGAUAUGAUGGAAAAGAAGUCCUGGCCUUAAACUCUAGUUUCCCAUAGCUUGUUGCAUGCUAAGAACCAAAGAAAUCCACAGUUAUGGUGAUAUGAUGCGUGGGAACUGCACCAGUUCUGCAGAAAAGAUCAAAGAGGAAUGCCCAGAAGAAAAACUGGGGCUUACAUACAAGUGGCAGCAUGAGAGGAAGAAGAAAAGUGUUCUUAGAAGAAGGAAUGAUGUUUGCAAAGGCCUGGAGGCCAGAGCAAGUGUGAUCUACCUUCCACCUCCAGAAAGAGCUGAUAUAGCAAGGGAUGGGUAAGGAUGCAGCUGAGUUUGCAGGUGAAAGGGACAGUUGCCAGAGUGCCAGGUAUGAUGAAUGGAACAAUGUAUGUUUUAUUGGAGAGUCUGGUGCUGGGAGAGCACAUGGAGGUGAUAGAGAUACACUGAGGAAAGGACACAGGAAUGGCGAUGAGAUGGGUCAGCUACGGGCCUGAAGGACAAGCCGUGAUUUCUAUGCUAUAAAAGUUUGUCUACUUCUCAUCUCCACUGUUAUCAGUUAAUCCAAGUGAUUCUCGUCUCUCCAGGUCCACCAUAAGAGCCUCCCCUUUGAUCUCUGCCCAUCCAUUCUUAACCCUUCUAUUUCCUUCUCUAUGCAACAGUCUUUUAAAUAUCACAGAUUGCAUGCCCAGACUUGUACAGCUGCCCUUAGAAGAAAAUCUCUGUCUUUUGCCACAUCCUACAAAGUCCUGUGUGAUUUCUUUGCCCCGACCACAGCCUCAUCCAGAGACUCUUGUUCCUCCUGCUCUAGCCAUGCUGCUCCCUUCUGCUGCUCCACUGCCCCUUCCCUUCCCUUCAUCCCUUUGCAGAUGCGAUCUGCUGUGAGUGGACCACUCUGACCCCUCUCCAGCCUAGCUGACCCUACACAAAACCCUCUUUAAACUGCAGAAUGGCCACAUGACCCUCCUCACAGCACUCACAGUACUACACCAUUUCAUUUAUUGUGGGCACUUAAUAAAGGGACAGUUUUACAUCUCAGUGUCUAAUUAUUAUGCUGACACCCCUCUUAACGACUCCUGUAAGAUCUGUGAGAGCAGGAACAGCAUCUGUUUCCCUCUUUAUCAGUGUGACCCCAAGACACAUCUGACACACAUUAGGCACUCAACAAAUACUUUAUCAAGGAGUAGAUAGAUACACGGAUAUUAGCAAUCCUUGAAAAACUAUUGUAUCCUUAGCAAACCCAUAAGACUAAUUUAAUACAGUUUCAUCUAAGAAAGGGCAGAUUUUCUCUCCCAAGCAUAUGUAUAUGAAGGUUUUCAUCUUUUUGUGUAGAUAUAUCAACUCUUUACACGCCCAUGGACAUCUGUGGGUGUGCACAACCACAACUACAAUAAACACGUCACUUCGACAGGAGAGAGAAGGCACGCUUUCAUCAAACCCAGGCAUGCAAACAGGAGGUAAAGCCUCCCUCGUUGCUUUAGCGCACAUGUUUAUUGAUGAUGCAGAUUAAACUUUAAUCAUAUUGCACAGUUUCAAUUUCCAAUUGAAAUUGAAAGUCUGAGCCACGCACGGGCUUUUAUUACCGUCCACUUACACUGCUGAUGGAACCGAUCAGAGGGGAGCCAUCUUCCUGGGCCGCAGGUGGGACAACUGGACCAUAAAUCAGAGUAAUGCUGUGAUACAGGAGAGGAAGCAAGGCAUGAUAAAAGAUGAGGAGUGUUAGGGGCAAUUUAGUGAGUGAGGGGCCUCAUCAUCAGGUCAGGAAAGUGUACGGGGCGACAGGGCUGCCGUGAGGAGGGAGGGGAGACGCUCAGUCAUCUCCCCAGUGCGUGCCAGCAGGCAGCACUUCUAAAAGCAAAAGAAAACACAGUUCAAACCAUGCUUUCCAAACAAGAUGCCAUCGCCGGAGUCCUAACCAAGAAAAAUACGGCUUUUGCAUGUGAGUGUUUUAAAAUAUGAAUUCCUGAAAAUAGCAGGCAGGGCAGACAAGGAUUUCAAUUGAGGUCAAACCAGAAGGCUUGUUUUUAGUGUGUAUCUAGUAUUGUAAUAGCACGUGUUGUUAAAAAUAUGACUGUUUAUAUCCUCACAACGCAGAGCAUCAGUUCCCCGCUCCUCCUCCUCUGCUCCUCUUCCUCCUUCUCUUUGUCUUCCUCCUCCUCCUCUUCUUGUUUUGUCUCCUACUGGAAGCGUCACUUAUCUCUUUGGGGAGAUAUCUAUGAAGUUAUCAUGGGUAUACAGGAGGUAGUAGAUCAAGAAGUAGAAGUUAAGCAAGCUUUUGUGUUCAUAGGGGAGAAUUAUAUCACUUAAGUAGCAUUUACUGAGUAGUUACUAUGCGCCAAGCACUUCUCUAGUUUGCGUAAGAGCUAUAUGAAGUAUUACUAAGAAUCAAUAAGUGUACAGUAUUCAUUUGCCACUCAGUGUACGGCAAGCACCCAAUACAUGCUAGAUCUUGUUUAUCGCUACUGUUCCAUUGUACUGUUGGUAAGAAUAAAGACAAGAGGGUGAGACAAAUUAGCCAAGGUCACACAGCGGGAAGAAGCAUGGCUGUGAUUGACAGUAAGGUGUCUGCCCUCACUUAGCCCCCAUACCCUGCUGUCUCCUCCUCUAGAAACCCUCCUCCGAGAUAGAUGAUGCAUUGCUGUUAAUUACACUCAUGCCGCUGUGUCAUAGAACUUAUUCCUCCCAUUAAAGUAUAACAUUGUACCCAUCGAAAGGCUUGUCCUCUCCUCCUUCCCUACC